rnacentral:rRNA from 1 species
CUACGGGGCGCAGCAGUGAGGAAUAUUGCACAAUGGGGGGAACCCUGAUGCAGCAACGCCGCGUGGAGGAUGACGCAUUUCGGUGUGUAAACUCCUUUUAUAUGUCAAGAAAAUGACGGUAGCAUAUGAAUAAGCACCGGCUAACUCCGUGCCAGCAGCCGCGGUAAUACGGAGGGUGCAAGCGUUACUCGGAAUCACUGGGCGUAAAGGACGCGUAGGCGGGUUGAAAAGUCAGGUGUGAAAUCCUACAGCUUAACUGUCAAACUGCACUUGAAACUUCUAAUCUAGAGUAUGGGAGGGGGAGAUGGAAUUAGUGGUGUAGGGGUAAAAUACGUAGAUAUCACUAGGAAUACCUAAAGCGAAGGCGAUCUCCUGGAACAUUACUGACGCUAAGGCGUGAAAGCGUGGGGCGCAAACAGGAUUAGAUACCCCGGUAGUC